GUGGGGAAUAUUGGACAAUGGGCGAAAGCCUGAUCCAGCCAUGCCGCGUGUGUGAAGAAGGUCUUCGGAUUGUAAAGCACUUUAAGUUGGGAGGAAGGGUAGUAACCUAAUACGUUGCUACUUUGACGUUACCGACAGAAUAAGCACCGGCUAACUUCGUGCCAGCAGCCGCGGUAAUACGAAGGGUGCAAGCGUUAAUCGGAAUUACUGGGCGUAAAGCGCGCGCAGGAGGUUCAGUAAGUUGGAAGUGAAAUCCCCGGGCUCAACCUGGGAACUGCUUUCAAAACUGCUGAGCUAGAGUACGGUAGAGGGUGGUGGAAUUUCCUGUGUAGCGGUGAAAUGCGUAGAUAUAGGAAGUAACACCAGUGGCGAAGGCGACCACCUGGACUGAUACUGACACUGAGGUGCGAAAGCGUGGGGAGCAAACAGGAUUAGAAACCCGUGUAGUCC
rnacentral:rRNA from 1 species